rnacentral:rRNA from 1 species
UAGUCCACGCCGUAAACGAUGUCUACUAGCCGUUGGGGAACUUGAUUCUUUAGUGGCGCAGCUAACGCACUAAGUAGACCGCCUGGGGAGUACGGCCGCAAGGUUAAAACUCAAAUGAAUUGACGGGGCCCGCACAAGCGGUGGAGCAUGUGGUUUAAUUCGAUGCAACGCGAAGAACCUUACCAGGCCUUGACAUCCUGAGAACUUUCUAGAGAUAGAUUGGUGCCUUCGGGAACUCAGUGACAGGUGCUGCAUGGCUGUCGUCAGCUCGUGUCGUGAGAUGUUGGGUUAAGUCCCGUAACGAGCGCAACCCUUGUCCUUAGUUGCCAGCACGUAAUGGUGGGAACUCUAAGGAGACUGCCGGUGACAAACCGGGAGGAAGGUGGGGACGACGUCAAUUCAUCACGGGCCCUUACGUCCUGGGGCUACACACGUGCUACAAUGGGUAGGGUACAGAGAGCAGCCACUGCGUGAGCA